AUGUCAAAGAUGAAGAUGCGAUGGAGAUCGAUUGUUGUUUUUGUUGAGAAACACUUGAGGGUAAAUAUAUGUAGCAGAUUGGUACGCAGAGGAAGAGAAUCGGUUAUAAUGUUGAGAAGAAGAGUAUGUGAUCUGCCGGCGAUGCAAAGAAUCAUGAUGAGGAUGAUGCAAUUCAUAGAGGUGAUGAAUAUGAAGCAAAGCUAUGCAGAUAGAUGA